UGGCUCAGAUUGAACGCUGGCGGCAGGCCUAACACAUGCAAGUCGAACGGUAACAGGAAGCAGCUUGCUGCUUCGCUGACGAGUGGCGGACGGGUGAGUAAUGUCUGGGAAACUGCCUGAUGGAGGGGGAUAACUACUGGAAACGGUAGCUAAUACCGCAUAACGUCGCAAGACCAAAGAGGGGGACCUUCGGGCCUCUUGCCAUCGGAUGUGCCCAGAUGGGAUUAGCUAGUAGGUGGGGUAACGGCUCACCUAGGCGACGAUCCCUAGCUGGUCUGAGAGGAUGACCAGCCACACUGGAACUGAGACACGGUCCAGACUCCUACGGGAGGCAGCAGUGGGGAAUAUUGCACAAUGGGCGCAAGCCUGAUGCAGCCAUGCCGCGUGUAUGAAGAAGGCCUUCGGGUUGUAAAGUACUUUCAGCGGGGAGGAAGGGAGUAAAGUUAAUACCUUUGCUCAUUGACGUUACCCGCAGAAGAAGCACCGGCUAACUCCGUGCCAGCAGCCGCGGUAA
rnacentral:rRNA from 1 species